AUGGCGAGUAGGCAAAAUUCUGUAAAAAAUCGUCGAGGAUGGCCCAACGGAAAAAGUUGUACAAACAGUCAACACACAGAGGGUGUCUCAGUACAUCGUUUCCCCAUGAAUGACAAGGAGAGGCUGAGUAAAUGGACAAAAUUUGUUAGGAGACAUAGGCCAAAAUUCGUUCCUCAGCAGUACUCUGUGCUAUGUUCAAUGCAUUUCGCAGAUUCUGCAUUCACCGUGAACGCAACAGUUGCAAAAUCGCUAAACAUGAGACGACAAUUGCGCUCUGAUGCUGUUCCAACCAUAGACUCUGUAAAAGGCAUUUCAAUCCAAGGUGAUAAGAGCAAUCGCGACCGCAGAGUUGUGUUGCGUGAAGUAACACGAAGUGUAAAAGAUGUUGAGCCCGCUGUUAAACAUACUGAUGAUGAAGGGAAUUCUGACGAGUGUAACACGACAGAAAGCGUUGAUAGUGAACCAGUUAGAGAGGAUUCACCAGAACCGCUGCCAAAACAAGAGCAAGUUGAAAUGUGCAGUAGAUGCGACAUACUUGCCAAGAAAGUUACAAAACUACAAAAUUGCAGGCACGUACUGGCAGUACUUCAUUUCAAUGAAAACCUUCACAGACAGCCAAAAAAAAAAAUAUGGAACACCAUAUUAUUCUGUUACAAACCCAAAAUUUAAAUCAGGGGAUGAAGUAGUAAGAACUGUUUCUUCAGCACCAUCAUAUUGUAAGUUUAGCAUGUAUGCAUUGGUACUCUUGACUUACACAUCUAACCACUUGUCAUUUUUCCAGACUAUGUUAAUGAAAUCAAAAAUGUCAUGGUUCUUAGUUGUGAGGAAUCCAUGGACAACAUAUUUAAGAAGUAUAAGGAAAAAGUCCCAGAAGCCUUAAACAAAACGUUCUCGGAUCGAAUUUCCAAAACUGAGGCAAUCCAACGGCAUUUGGAUAGGAAACAACUAUCUUCAACACCAUUGUUUCCCACAUAUCAACAGCAAGAUGUACUGCAAGCAAAAGGUUUAGACAAAGAAAAACAAGCUGCUUCAACAAGUCCUUCAGAUCCAAAAAAAAUGCGCUUAUGCAAAAAUUGUGGACAGCCAAUGAAAGGACAUCCAAAAAGUCAUUGUCCACAAGAAUUACUUGACAAAUAUUCUUAGCAGGCCAACUUUAAAGUUAGUUAUAAAAUAAUAUACUAUGCUACAAAAAAUGUUUCCCACUUCUAUCAGUUUCUUUCCCGUGCUGACUCGUAGCCAGCAUGUUCUUGGCCUAGGGGAUUUCGUAAUGGAAAUCGUUUUCGGAUGUCUGUGUAGAUACAUGCAGGUAAUGGUCUAGAAUUUUCCCAACCAAGGCAUCCACACAGCCAUCGAAUGACCCAACGGUAUGCAACUGCUCUCAAGUAUCUAUGAGAAAUUCAAAAUAGUAAUUUCUAUUUGAUUAUUUAUUUUGACUUCACACAACAAAAUUGUGAAGCAUCACAGCACAAUAAUGAACCACAUAAAGGUAAAAAGUAGAGAUACAUGGCAAGAUAUUAAUCAUUCGCUACAAAACAAAAUUAGAAAUCAAAA